ACAACCAGUCUGUUGACAAAAGUCAACAGGACUGUCAAUGCAACAAGAUGAAUAUACAACAAAAAGAUUUGUACUAUUCAAGGUUGUCAGACAUAGAACUGAGACCUCCUGCACCAGGAUGUGAACCUAAGAUAAUCAUGAAGUUUCCCAACAUGGAAGUGUGUAUUGAUAUUGAAAUCUACAUUUCUGCCAUUGGUCCACUUGCUCCAAACUUGAAUGAGACAUCAACUUCUAGUCUAGUGGGGCAGAUGACUCCUAAU